rnacentral:rRNA from 1 species
CGAGGUGCCCGCUAGAGUUUUUUCCUGGCGCGGAAGACGGGAGCUUGCUCCUGAAAAAACGGCGGACGGGUGAGUAAUGCCUAGGAAUCUGCCUGGUAGUGGGGGACAACGUUUCGAAAGGAACGCUAAUACCGCAUACGUCCUACGGGAGAAAGCAGGGGACCUUCGGGCCUUGCGCUAUCAGAUGAGCCUAGGUCGGAUUAGCUUGUUGGUGAGGUAAUGGCUCACCAAGGCGACGAUCCGUAACUGGUCUGAGAGGAUGAUCAGUCACACUGGAACUGAGACACGGUCCAGACUCCUACGGGAGGCAGCAGUGGGGAAUAUUGGACAAUGGGCGAAAGCCUGAUCCAGCCAUGCCGCGUGUGUGAAGAAGGUCUUCGGAUUGUAAAGCACUUUAAGUUGGGAGGAAGGGUUGUAGAUUAAUACUCUGCAAUUUUGACGUUACCGACAGAAUAAGCACCGGCUAACUCUGUGCCAGCAGCCGCGGUAAUACAGAGGGUGCAAGCGUUAAUCGGAAUUACUGGGCGUAAAGCGCGCGUAGGUGGUUUGUUAAGUUGGAUGUGAAAGCCCCGGGCUCAACCUGGGAACUGCAUCCAAAACUGGCAAGCUAGAGUACGGUAGAGGGUGGUGGAAUUUCCUGUGUAGCGGUGAAAUGCGUAGAUAUAGGAAGGAACACCAGUGGCGAAGGCGACCACCUGGACUGAUACUGACACUGAGGUGCGAAAGCGUGGGGAGCAAACAGGAUUAGAUACCCUGGUAGUCCACGCCGUAAACGAUGUCAACUAGCCGUUGGAAUCCUUGAGAUUUUAGUGGCGCAGCUAACGCAUUAAGUUG